rnacentral:lncRNA from 1 species
CAUAAAGAAAUUCAGUUGAUGGAAAUGCAGAGUGGCUCAGAGUAAGAGAUGUUUCUUUCGAUAUACUGCCUCCCAUUGUAACUCCCGGCCUGAAGAAGCUUUGGUCUCCAUGGAGCUGUAUAAUCUGUUGUUGAAGGUUUUGAUCUUCGGCAGCAGUGUCAAUUCCAAAAUCAAAACAAGUCUUUUCUUGUACGCUGUCAUCAUACAUAGACAUGAGGCCAGAAAUCAUCUUUUGACCAUCUUCUGGAAUUCCAAGUUUAGAAAUACUCAAACAAGAGGGAUGCUCAAUCAUGGGCUGAGAAGCCGGCUUAAGUUGAACGGAUGGUGCAGAGAUGACCUCUGGCUUCUUCUUAUAUGGCUGAUAGUUCAUUAUGCCAAGAUUUUGAGAAGCACUCAAUCUGUAUGGACAGUUAAUCUGGUGAUUGUUCCUCAAUGUUCUGUCAUGAAAUCCCAUAUUGUAACCACUAUAAGGGCACUGAGGAUUCUGACAGGUAUAGAUUUUUUGGUCCAAGUCUCCCUCAUUUGACAUAAAUUUCCUCUUGUGGAUGAGUUCUGGGUCAAUAUCAACAACUUCUCCUUUAACUGGAGCCAAUGACGGAAGCAU